CAACUUUGUAACUUCACCUUAGUCUCUGAGGGCCACAGCUUCAUUUACAUGAGGUGAACACAAAGUGGCCAAUGGGAAAUCUCUAGGGGGUAUUUGGACCUGAGAAGAUUCUAUAUCCAGGCCCUUGAGCUGCUGCCGCUGCCGGCUCCCACACUGUGGAGUGUACUUUCACUUUCAAUAAGUCUCUGCUUUUGUUGUAUCAUUCUUUCCUUGCUUUGCUGUGUGUUUUGUCCAAUUCUUUGUUCAAAAUGCCAAGAACCUGGCCAACUUGGAGUCAAGACCCUCUACCGAACUUGAAGAUUUUUAGUGUUAUGCCUACUCUGCCAAUUCUUGGAACAUUUGCGGAACUGAGAAUUUACUUCUUCGUUUAUUACUUCCUAACUACAUUUUAAAGGUUGACUCACCAGAACACUCACACCCUUCAAGAUUGAUAUUCAUUCCUCUUUGAGAUACGAGCAGAUGCUUCCAACAACUGUCUACAGCCACGAUGCCGUAGCCUUGAACAAAGAAGAAAAAAUUUCUUUUAAAGAAAGGCCAAAGAAUUAUUAUAGAUCUUUUCUUUCGACAUUCCUAAACAAGAACAGGCCUAGAUGGUGUCAUUUUCAAUUCUUGUCCUAACUGGUAUUGUAUGAUUUUUUUGUUUUUAAAUUGCCCUGAAUUUUUGCCCCAUUUUGUUUGUGUUUUGGGUGAACAUUACCUUUACAUAGAAUAACUAAUGUUUCUUAACUGUCUGCUUUAUAUACAAAGUAUUAUUUUGCCUUCUUCUGAGUUUGAUUAACAACUAACUUUAUGUAUGAUAGUAGUUGUUUGGGGAUUUUUCUUUUUGUAAAGAUGGACUAAUAUCUUAGGCCCCCA
rnacentral:lncRNA from 1 species